rnacentral:rRNA from 1 species
GACGAACGCUGGCGGCGUGCUUAACACAUGCAAGUCGAACGGAAAGGCCCUGCUUUUGUGGGGUGCUCGAGUGGCGAAAGGGUGAGUAACACGUGAGUAACCUGCCCUUGACUUUGGGAUAACUUCAGGAAACUGGGGCUAAUACCGGCUAGGAGCUCCUGCUGCAUGGUGGGGGUUGGAUAGUUUCGGCGGUUGGGGAUGGACUCGCGGCUUAUCAGCUUGUUGGUGGGGUAGUGGCUUACCAAGGCUUUGACGGGUAGCCGGCCUGAGAGGGUGACCGGCCACAUUGGGACUGAGAUACGGCCCAGACUCCUACGGGAGGCAGCAGUGGGGAAUAUUGCACAAUGGGCGGAAGCCUGAUGCAGCAACGCCGCGUGCGGGAUGACGGCCUUCGGGUUGUAAACCGCUUUCGCCUGUGACGAAGCGUGAGUGACGGUAAUGGGUAAAGAAGCACCGGCUAACUACGUG